rnacentral:rRNA from 1 species
AGAUUGAACGCUGGCGGCAUGCCUUACACAUGCAAGUCGAACGGCAGCACGGGAGCAAUCCUGGUGGCGAGUGGCGAACGGGUGAGUAAUACAUCGGAACGUGCCCAAUCGUGGGGGAUAACGCAGCGAAAGCUGUGCUAAUACCGCAUACGCCCUUCGGGGGAAAGCCGGGGAUCGCAAGACCUGGCGCGGAUAGAUGAGCCGAUGUCGGAUUAGCUAGUUGGUGAGGUAAUGGCUCACCAAGGCGACGAUCCGUAGCUGGUCUGAGAGGAUGAUCAGCCACACUGGAACUGAGACACGGUCCAGACUCCUAGGGAGCAGCAGUGGGAAUAUUGGACAAUGGCGCAAGCCUGAUCCAGCCAUACCGCGGU